CCAGACUCCUACGGGAGGCAGCAGUAGGGAAUUUUGCGCAAUGGGCGAAAGCCUGACGCAGCAACGCCGCGUGAUUGAUUAAGCCCUUCGGGGUGUAAAGAUCUGUCAGUGGGGACGAAACUUGACGGUACCCACAGAGGAAGCACCGGCUAACUCCGUGCCAGCAGCCGCGGUAAUACGGAGGGUGCAAGCGUUGUCCGGAAUCAUUGGGCGUAAAGAGUUCGUAGGUGGCAUAUUAAGUCUGGUGUUAAAUGCAGAAGCUCAACUUCUGUUCGGCACUGGAUACUGGUAAGCUUGAAUGCGGUAGAGGUAAAGGGAAUUCCUGGUGUAGCGGUGAAAUGCGUAGAUAUCACGCAGAACUCCGAUUGCGAAGGCAGCAUACCGGCGCCCGACUGACGCUGAGGCACGAAAGCGUGGGUAUCGAACAGGAUUAGAUACCCCAGUA
rnacentral:rRNA from 1 species